rnacentral:misc_RNA from 1 species
GUUGAAGAACGCAGCGAAAUGCGAUAAGUAAUGUGAAUUGCAGAGUUCAGUGAAUCAUCGAAUCUUUGAACGCACAUUGCGCCCGUCAGUAUUCUGGCGGGCAUGCCUGUUCGAGCGUCAUUACGCCCCUCAAGUCCCCUGUGGACUUGGUGUUGGGGAUCGGCGAGGCUGGUUUUCCAGCACAGCCGUCCCUUAAAUUAAUUGGCGGUCUCGCCGUGGCCCUCCUCUGCGCAGUAGUAAAACACUCGCAACAGGAGCCCGGCGCGGUCCACUGCCGUAAAACCCCCCAACUUUUUAUAGUUGACCUCGAAUCAGGUAGGACUACCCGCUGAACUUAAGCAUAUCAAUAAGCGGAGGA